rnacentral:rRNA from 1 species
AUGGGGAGGUCUCCUUGCUGCGAGAAGACGGGGCUCAAGAGGGGGCCAUGGACGGCAGAGGAGGACAUGACCCUGGUGGCUCACAUCGAGCAGCACGGGCACAGCAACUGGCGGGCGCUGCCGAAGCAGGCCGGCCUGCUGCGCUGCGGCAAGAGUUGCCGCCUCCGGUGGAUCAACUACCUGCGCCCCGACAUCAAGCGCGGCAACUUCACCGGCGAGGAGGAAGACGCUAUCAUCCAGCUCCACGCCAUGCUCGGCAAUAGAUGGUCCACCAUUGCCGCCAGGCUGCCUGGCAGGACGGACAACGAGAUCAAGAACGUCUGGCACACACACCUCAAGAAGCGACUCGACUCGUCCUCGUCCAAGACGUCCGGCCAGGCAGCGCCUAAGCGCAAAGCCAAGAAGCCUGUGGCUGCAGCGAGCACAGCCGAUGGCCCGGCCUCCAUGCCAGUGUCGUCACCGGAGCAGCCCAUCUCGUCGUCCGCCACCGAUUACUCGAUGCCGUCGUCGUUGGAGAACACAGACAGCUUUACAUCGGAGGAGUUUCAGAUUGAAGACAGCUUUUGGUCGGAGACACUGGCAAUGACGGUGGACAGCUCCGGUUCCGCCAUGGAGGCCGGCGUCACCUUGGGCGCAGACAGUGCAUCGCCGUCGUCCAGCAACGACGAGAUGGACUUCUGGGUCAGACUGUUCAUGCAGGCUGGUGAGGUGCAGAGUUUGUCUCAGAUUUAG